rnacentral:rRNA from 1 species
CGAAGGGGGCUAGCGUUGUUCGGAAUUACUGGGCGUAAAGGGCGUGUAGGCGGCCCGUUAAGACAGGUGUGAAAUUCCUGGGCUCAACCCAGGACGUGCGCCUGUGACUGGCGGGCUUGAGUCCGGGAGAGGAUGGUGGAACUCCCAGUGUAGAGGUGAAAUUCGUAGAUAUUGGGAAGAACACCCGUGGCGAAGGCGGCCAUCUGGACCGGUACUGACGCUAAGGCGCGACAGCGUGGGGAGCAAACAGGAUUAGAUACCCUGGUAGUCCACGCCGUAAACGAUGAGUGCUAGACGUUGGGAAGCCUAGCUUUUCAGUGUCGCAGCUAACGCAUUAAGCACUCCGCCUGGGGAGUACGGCCGCAAGGUUG